rnacentral:rRNA from 1 species
ACUCAAAGGAAUUGACGGGGGCCCGCACAAGCAGUGGAGCAUGUGGUUUAAUUCGAUGCAACGCGAAGAACCUUACCCAGGCUCGAAAUGCAGUUGGCGUUACCAGAGAUGGUAAUUUCCGCAAGGACAAUUGUAUAGGUGCUGCAUGGCUGUCGUCAGCUCGUGCCGUGAGGUGUUGGGUUAAGUCCCGCAACGAGCGCAACCCUUAUCAUUAGUUGCCAACACGUAAGGUGGGGACUCUAAUGAGACUGCCUAGGUUAACUAGGAGGAAGGUGAGGAUGACGUCAAGUCCGCAUGGCCUUUAUGUCUGGGGCUACACACGUGCUACAAUGGUCGGUACAGAAGGCUGCAAUACCGCAAGGUGGAGCAAAUCCGUAAAGCCGAUCUCAGUUCAGAUUGUAGUCUGCAACUCGACUACAUGAAGUUGGAAUUGCUAGUAAUGACGUGUCAGCUACAACGUCGUGAAUACGUUCCCGGGCCUUGUACACACCGCCCGU